rnacentral:rRNA from 1 species
GAAUUUGUAGUGUAGCGGUGAAAUGCAUAGAUAUUACAAGGAACUCCGAUUGCGAAGGCAGCUUACUAAAUUACAACUGACGCUUAGGCACGAAGGCGUGGGUAUCAAACAGGAUUAGAUACCCUGGUAGUCCACGCAGUAAACGAUGAUUACUCGCUGUUUGCGAUACACAGUAAGCGGCUUAGCGAAAGCGUUAAGUAAUCCACCUGGGGAGUACGUUCGCAAGAAUGAAACUCAAAGGUAUUGACGGGGGCCCGCACAAGCGGAGGAACAUGUGGUUUAAUUCGAUGAUACGCGAGGAACCUUACCCGGGCUUGAAAUGCAUUUGACCGGCUCAGAGACGAGCCUUCCCUUCGGGGCAAAUGUGUAGGUGCUGCAUGGUUGUCGUCAGCUCGUGCCGUGAGGUGUCGGCUUAAGUGCCAUAACGAGCGCAACCCUCAUCAUUAGUUACUAACAGGUUAAGCUGAGGACUCUAGUGAGACUGCCAUCGUAAGAUGCGAGGAAGGUGGGGAUGACGUCAAAUCAGCACGGCCCUUAUGUCCGGGGCGACACACGUGUUACAAUGGAUGGUACAACAGGCAGCUACUAGGCGACUAGAUGCUAAUCCCAAAAACCAUUCUCAGUUCGGAUCGAAGUCUGCAACUCGACUUCGUGAAGCUGGAUUCGCUAGUAAUCGCGCAUCAGCCACGGCGCGGUGAAUACGUUCCCGGGCCUUGUACACACCGCCCGUCAAGCCAUGGAAGCUGGGGGUACCUGAAGCACGUAACCGCAAGGAGCGUUCUAGGGUAAAACUGGUAACUGGGGCUAAGUCGUAACAAGGUAACCGAAAGGGCAAUCGUAACUCG